rnacentral:rRNA from 1 species
AGCGAACGCUGGCGGCAGGCCUAACACAUGCAAGUCGAGCGGCCGUAGCAAUACGGCAGCGGCAGACGGGAGAGUAACACGUGGGAACGCGCCCUUCGGUUCGGAAUAACUCAGGGAAACUUGGGCUAAUACCGGAUACGCCCUUACGGGGAAAGAUUUAUUGCCGAAGGAACGGCCCGCGUCCGAUUAGCUUGUUGGUGAGGUAACGGCUCACCAAGGCGACGAUCGGUAGCUGGUGUGAGAGGAUGACCAGCCUCACUGGGACUGAGACACGGCCCAGACUCCUGCGCGAGGCAUCAGUGGCGAAUAUUGGACAAUGGGCGCAAGCCUGAUCCAGCCAGGCCUCGUGAGUGAUGAAGGCCCUAGGGUUGUAAAGCCCUUUCGGCGGGGAAGAUAAUGACGGUACCCGCAGAAGAGGCCCCGGCUAACUUCGUGCCAGCAGCCGCGGUAA